rnacentral:rRNA from 1 species
ACUGCUCAGUAACACGUGAGCAACCUACCGAGAUGCGGGGGAUAGCCGGCCCAACGGCCGGGUAAUACCGCGUACGCUUCUUCUGAGGAGUCUUGGAAGAAGGAAACCUUCGGGGCAUUUCGCGGGGCUCGCGGCCUAUCAGCUAGUUGGUGAGGUAACGGCCCACCAAGGCUAUGACGGGUAGCUGGUCUGAGAGGAUGGCCAGCCACAUUGGGACUGAGAAACGGCCCAGACUCCUACGGGAGGCAGCAGUGGGGAAUAUUGCGCAAUGGUCGAAAGACUGACGCAGCGACGCCGCGUGAGGGAGGAAGCUCUUCGGGGUGUAAACCUCUGUUGCCCGGAACGAAACUCACCUUUCGAGGUGAUUGACGGUACCGGGUGAGGAAGCGCCGGCUAACUCUGUGCCAGCAGCCGCGGUACUACAGAGGGCGCGAGCGUUGUCCGGAAUCACUGGGCGUAAAGGGCGCGUAGGUGGCCACUAUAAGGCCGCGGUGAAAGUUCGGGGCUCAACCCUGAAUCGGCCGCGGCGACUGUAGGGCUUGGGCACCGUAGAGGCAGAUGGAAUUCCGGGUGUAGCGGUGGAAUGCGUAGAGAUCCGGAAGAACACCGGUGGCGAAGGCGGUCUGCUGGGCGGUGGACCCGUGAGGGUCCAAUAGCCGACACUGAGGCGCGACAGCGUGGGGAGCAAACAGGAUUAGAUACCCUGGUAGUCCACGCCGUAAACGAUGGGCACUAGGUGCUCCGGGGAGCGACCCUUGGAGUACCGGCGCUAACGCAUUAAGUGCCCCGCCUGGGGAGUACGACCGCAAGGUUAAAACUCAAAGGAAUUGGCGGGGGAGCAC